GAUGAACGCUAGCGGCAGGCCUAACACAUGCAAGUCGAGGGGUAACUAGAGUGAUAGCAAUAUUACUUUGGCUAGACCGGCGCACGGGUGCGUAACACGUAUGCAACCUACCUUAUACUGGGGAAUAACUUCGAGAAAUCGGCGCUAGUACCCCAUAACAUUGCGAAGAGGCAUCUCUUUGCAAUUAAAGCUCCGGCGGUAUAGGAUGGGCAUGCGUCCAAUUAGCUAGUUGGUGAGGUAACGGCCCACCAAGGCUCCGAUUGGUAGGGGUUCUGAGAGGGUGAUCCCCCACACUGGUACUGAGACACGGACCAGACGCCUAAGGGAGGAAGCAGUGAGGAAUAUUGCGCAAUGGACGAAAGUCUGACGCAGCCAUGCCGCGUGCAGGAUGACGGCCCUAUGGGUUGUAAACUGCUUUUGUACGGGAAUAAACCCUUCUACGUGUAGGAGGCUGAAGGUACCGUAAGAAUAAGCACCGGCUAACUCCGUGCCAGAAGCCGCAGUAA
rnacentral:rRNA from 1 species